CCUACGGGAGGCAGCAGUGAGGAAUAUUGGUCAAUGGACGCAAGUCUGAACCAGCCAUGCCGCGUGCAGGAAGACGGCUCUAUGAGUUGUAAACUGCUUUUGUACGAGGGUAAACGCACAUACGCGUAUCUGUCUGAAAGUAUCGUACGCAUAAGGAUCGGCUAACUCCGUGCCAGCAGCCGCGGUAAUACGGAGGAUUCAAGCGUUAUCCGGAUUUAUUGGGUUUAAAGGGUGCGUAGGCGGUCGGAUAAGUUAGAGGUGAAAUCCCGAGGCUCAACUUCGGAAUUGCCUCUGAUACUGCUCGGCUAGAGAGUAGUUGCGGUAGGCGGAAUGUAUGGUGUAGCGGUGAAAUGCUUAGAGAUCAUACAGAACACCGAUUGCGAAGGCAGCUUACUAAGCUACUUCUGACGUUGAGGCACGAAAGCGUGGGGAGCAAACAGGAUUAGAUACCCCAGUAGUC
rnacentral:rRNA from 1 species